UGCCGGCGACCGGCGACGGGUGCGUAACGCGUAUGUAACCUACCUUUGACAGGGGGAUAACGAUCGAGAAAUUGGUACUAAUACCCCAUAACAUCACCGGAGGCAUCUUCGGUGGUUGAAAACUCAGGUGGUCAGAGAUGGACAUGCGUUGUAUUAGCUAGUUGGUGAGGUAACGGCUCACCAAGGCGACGAUACAUAGGGGGACUGAGAGGUCAACCCCCCACAUUGGUACUGAGACACGGACCAAACUCCUACGGGAGGCAGCAG
rnacentral:rRNA from 1 species